UACGGGGGGAGCAAGCGUUGUUCGGAUUUCCUGGGCGUAAAGGGCGCGUAGGCGGCCACCGCAAGUCGGUUGUGAAAUCUCUGGGCUUAACCCAGAAAGGUCAACCGAUACUGCGGGGCUAGAGUGCAGAAGGGGCAACUGGAAUUCUCGGUGUAGCGGUGAAAUGCGUAGAUAUCGAGAGGAACACCUGCGGCGAAGGCGGGUUGCUGGGCUGACACUGACGCUGAAGCGCGAAAGCUAGGGGAGCGAACGGG
rnacentral:rRNA from 1 species